rnacentral:rRNA from 1 species
GACGAACGCUGGCGGCGUGCUUAACACAUGCAAGUCGAACGGAAAGGCCCUGCUUGCAGGGUACUCGAGUGGCGAACGGGUGAGUAACACGUGGGUGAUCUGCCCUGCACUUCGGGAUAAGCCUGGGAAACUGGGUCUAAUACCGGAUAGGAGCCAUUUUUAGUGUGAUGGUUGGAAAGUUUUUUUCGGUGUAGGAUGAGCUCGCGGCCUAUCAGCUUGUUGGUGGGGUAAUGGCCUACCAAGGCGGCGACGGGUAGCCGGCCUGAGAGGGUGGACGGCCACAUUGGGACUGAGAUACGGCCCAGACUCCUACGGGAGGCAGCAGUGGGGAAUAUUGCACAGUGGGCGCAAGCCUGAUGCAGCGACGCCGCGUGGGGGAUGACGGCCUUCGGGUUGUAAACUCCUUUCGCUAGGGACGAAGCUUUUUGUGACGGUACCUAGAUAAGAAGCACCGGCUAACUACGUG